rnacentral:rRNA from 1 species
GAGAGGACCGGAGUGGACAGACCUCUAGUGUGCCAGUUGUUCCGCCAGGAGCAUCGCUGGGUAGCCAUGUCUGGCAAAGAUAACCGCUGAAAGCAUCUAAGUGGGAAACUUGCCCUAAGAUUAGAUCCCUGUAUUCCCGUAAGGGAGUAAGACCCCAGAUAGACUAUCUGGUAUAUAGGCAAUAUGUGUAAGCACAGUAAUGUGUUCAGCUAAAUUGUACUAAUGGUCGAGGGCUUCAUCCC